AUUGAACGCUUGCGGCAGGCCUAACACAUGCAAGUCGAACGAGUGGCGGACGGGUGAGUAAUGUCUGGGAAACUGCCUGAUGGAGGGGGAUAACUACUGGAAACGUUAGCUAAUACCGCAUACCAUCAGAUGUGCCCAGAUGGGAUUAGCUAGUUGGUGGGGUAACGGCUCACCAAGGAGACGAUCCCUAGCUGGUAUGAGAUGAUGACCAGCCACACUGAAAUGGAGACACGGUCCAGAAUACUAGGGGGUGAAGAAGUGGGGAAUAUUGCACAAUGGGAGCAAGCCUGCUGCAGACAUGCAGCGUGUAUGAAGAAGGCCUUCGGGUUGUAAAGUACUUUCAGCGGGGAGGCGUUACCCGCAGAAGAAGCCCCGGAUAACUCCGUGCCAGCAGCCGCGGUAAUUC
rnacentral:rRNA from 1 species